rnacentral:pre_miRNA from 1 species
UACGUACUCCCUCCGUUCGGAAUUACUUGUCGUAGAAAUGGAUGUAUCUAAACAUAUUUUAGUUCUAGAUACAUCCAUAUCCGAGACAAGUAAUUCCGAACGGAGGGAGUAGCUU